UGGGGAAUAUUGCACAAUGGGCGCAAGCCUGAUGCAGCCAUGCCGCGUGUAUGAAGAAGGCCUUCGGGUUGUAAAGUACUUUCAGCGGGGAGGAAGGCGAUAAGGUUAAUAACCUUGUCGAUUGACGUUACCCGCAGAAGAAGCACCGGCUAACUCCGUGCCAGCAGCCGCGGUAAUACGGAGGGUGCAAGCGUUAAUCGGAAUUACUGGGCGUAAAGCGCAGGCAGGCGGUCUGUCAAGUCGGAUGUGAAAUCCCCGGGCUCAACCUGGGAACUGCAUUCGAAACUGGCAGGCUAGAGUCUUGUAGAGGGGGGUAGAAUUCCAGGUGUAGCGGUGAAAUGCGUAGAGAUCUGGAGGAAUACCGGUGGCGAAGGCGGCCCCCUGGACAAAGACUGACGCUCAGGUGCGAAAGCGUGGGGAGCAAACA
rnacentral:rRNA from 1 species